GGUCUGAUUUUCGUCAGUCUUGGUUGGGUCGGCAGGUGACUCUUUGGCUCAUCUAUGGGCUGUGAGCGUUACUAACCGGCUGUAGUGGAGCUGUGCGGUGUGUCGGAGAUGGCGGCUUCGCAUGCGUGCCUAGACCUUCGGGCAUGGUUGAGUCUGGUCGGUUUGUUACUAGCUUCGGCUGGUCGGCCGAUGGCUUGAUUUUGUCACGUAGGCGGUCGCGUGUGUAGUUUGCAUUGGGCCAAUAGUCUGUGGUGUAGUGGUAGACGAUCCACCUGACCCGUCUUGAAACACGGACCAAGGA
rnacentral:rRNA from 1 species